rnacentral:lncRNA from 1 species
AGAGUAUUACUAUCGGUGGAAGCUAGGGUUUGACACAGGUCUCCGCCGAGAGUAUUGACGGAGAAAAUCGAAAGUAAUUCCUUCGAUUCUUGUGUUUAACGCUCAAAUUUCUAUAUUCUAUUUAUGUUUUGUCGUGUAUCUGAGUUGGGGAUUGAAGUUUCGAAGGGUUUGAGGUGGUUGUGUACGAUAUUAGCGGGUUAGGGCUCGCCGGAGUCGUGUGGCGGCGUUGGUGGAUAACUAGGUUAGGCGAUUGAGGGGUUCGAGGGGGGGCUGCUACGGCGGUGACGCCGCCGUGACUGUCCGGAGAGGAACGGCGUAGGGAGAUGGUUGGGUGUGGUGCGGGCGGCGAUGCGGUUGAAACGAGGAGGGGCUGCUGUGGGGUGAGUAUUUUGUGUGUGUUUGUAAAUGGAGAUUUACAGUGUUGUGGGUAGGGUUUCGAUGGCGGUUACAGGGCUGGUAAAAGGAGGGUGGGAAUAAGAGUGUGG